rnacentral:rRNA from 1 species
UACGAAGGGGCUAGCGUUGCUCGGAAUCACUGGGCGUAAAGCGCACGUAGGCGGACUCUUAAGUCGGUGGUGAAAUCCUGGAGCUCAACUCCAGAACUGCCUUCGAUACUGAGAGUCUCGAGUCCGAGAGAGGUGAGUGGAACUGCGAGUGUAGAGGUGAAAUUCGUAGAUAUUCGCAAGAACACCAGUGGCGAAGGCGGCUCACUGGCCCGGUACUGACGCUGAGGUGCGAAAGCGUGGGGAGCAACAGGGAUUAAGAAACCCUUGU